AUUGAACGCUGGCGGCAUGCUUUACACAUGCAAGUCGAACGGUAACAGGCCGCAAGGUGCUGACGAGUGGCGAACGGGUGAGUAAUGCAUCGGAACGUGCCCAGUCGUGGGGGAUAACUACUCGAAAGAGUAGCUAAUACCGCAUACGAUCUAUGGAUGAAAGCGGGGGACCGUAAGGCCUCGCGCGAUUGGAGCGGCCGAUGUCAGAUUAGGUAGUUGGUGGGAUAAAGGCUCACCAAGCCAACGAUCUGUAGCUGGUCUGAGAGGACGACCAGCCACACUGGGACUGAGACACGGCCCAGACUCCUACGGGAGGCAGCAGUGGGGAAUUUUGGACAAUGGGCGCAAGCCUGAUCCAGCAAUGCCGCGUGCAGGAAGAAGGCCUUCGGGUUGUAAACUGCUUUUGUACGGAACGAAACGGCUCUGGUUAAUACCCGGGGCUAAUGACGGUACCGUAAGAAUAAGCACCGGCUAACUACGUG
rnacentral:rRNA from 1 species